GUUAUCCGGAAUUACUGGGCGUAAAGGGAGCGUAGGCGGAUUUUUAAGUGAGAUGUGAAAUACUUGGGCUUAACCUGAGUGCUGCAUUUCAAACUGGAAGUCUAGAGUGCAGGAGAGGAGAAGGGAAUUCCUAGUGUAGCGGUGAAAUGCGUAGAGAUUAGGAAGAACACCAGUGGCGAAGGCGCUUCUCUGGACUGUAACUGACGCUGAGGCUCGAAAGCGUGGGGAGG
rnacentral:rRNA from 1 species